ACGGCUCAGUAACACGUGGGCUAACCUACCCUCGAGACGGAGACAACCCCGGGAAACUGGGGCUAAUCCCCGAUAGGUGAAGAUUCCUGGAAUGGAUCUUCGCUCAAAAGGUGUUGGAAUCAUGCUUUCAGCAUUGCUCGAGGAUGGAGCCGCGGCCGAUCAGGUAGUUGGUGAGGUAACGGCUCACCAAGCCUAUAACCGGUACGGGCCGUGGGAGCGGGAGCCCGGAGAUGGGAACUGAGACAAGGUCCCAGGCCCUACGGGGCGCAGCAGUCGCGAAAACUCCGCAAUGCACGAAAGUGUGACGGGGCUACCCCGAGUGCCGUCCGCUGAGGAUGGCUUUUCUUUGCUGUAAGGAAGCGGAGGAAUAAGGAGAGGGCAAGUCUGGUGUCAGCCGCCGCGGUAAUACCAGCUCUCCGAGUGGUGGGGAUGAUUAUUGGGCUUAAAGCGUCCGUAGCCGGCUUUUCAAGUCUCUUGUUAAAUCCAGCGAUUCAAUCGUUGGGCUGCAGGAGAUACUGUUAGGCUAGGAGACGGGAGAAGCCGACGGUAUUCCCGGAGUAGGGGUAAAAUCCUAUAAUCCCGGGAAGACCACCAGUGGCGUAGGCGGUCGGCUAGCACGCGCUCGACGGUGAGGGACGAAAGCUGGGGGAGCGAACCGGAUUAGAUACCCGGGUAGUCCCAGCUGUAAACGAUGCGGACUAGGUGUUGGAGCGGCUACGGGCCGCUUCAGUGCCGCAGGGAAACCAUUAAGUCCGCCGCCUGGGGAGUACGGCCGCAAGGCUGAAACUUAAAGGAAUUGGCCGGGGGGAG
rnacentral:rRNA from 1 species